GGGGGCGAAACGGCUUCGACGGAGAUAUGGAAACUUAGGUCGCAUACCGAGCGCCUGUCAGCUCGUUAAAAAGAUGGGAACCUAAAUAUAAUCGCAGAUGAUUAUAACUACGCUUUAGCCGCUUAGGCUAACGCUCUGCCGUGUUAAUCCUGCGGACACGGCAAGGGCGACGAUCAGUGGGAUAGCUUUUCAUGUGUGCCUGUAACAUGUAAGGCGAAAUAUUACAGGAUACGCUUUCAGUUAUCCAGUCUGAAGGAGAAUUGAAAGCCGACAAUUAAAAUUCGGAAUAAGUAUGUAGACGCCUGUGUGGAAUAUUUUCGGACGCGGGUUCGACUCCCGCCGCCUCCACCA
rnacentral:tmRNA from 1 species